GCGCCCGUAGCUCAGCGGAUAGAGCGUCAGGUUGCGGACCUGAAGGUCGUGGGUUCGAGUCCCGCCGGGCGCGCCA
rnacentral:tRNA from 5 species